GAUGAACGCUAGCGGCAGGCCUAAUACAUGCAAGUCGAACGGUGUCUUCGGACAUAGUGGCGCACGGGUGCGUAACACGUAUGCAACCUACCUUACAUUGGGGGAUAGCCUUUCGAAAGGGAGAUUAAUACCGCAUAAGACAGUAGUCUGGCAUCAGACAGCUGUUAAAGAUUUAUCGAUGUAAGCUGGGCAUGCGUCCAAUUAGUUAGUUGGCGAGGUAACGGCCCACCAAGACUAUGAUUGGUAGGGGAACUGAGAGGUCAAUCCCCCACACUGGCACUGAGAGACGGGCCAGACUCCUACGGGAGGCAGCAGUAGGGAAUAUUGGGCAAUGGACGCAAGUCUGACCCAGCCAUGCCGCGUGCAGGAAGAAGGCGUUAUGCGUUGUAAACUGCUUUUAUACAGGAAGAAACGACUCUUGCGAGAGGCAUUGACGGUACUGUAUGAAUAAGCACCGGCUAACUCCGUGCCAGCCGCCGCCGUAACAC
rnacentral:rRNA from 1 species